GUGUUUGUACGUGCUUGGGGAGUAGAUAGAUAGACAGCAUACACAAGAGGUGUGGAUUGCUUGUGAGGAGGGAAAGACAGAGGCUUCUCUUUAAAUAACAAGCUUCAGAUUCAGGGCUGCCACGUUUGCGCCUCCCUCUCAAGAUUAGAUGAAAAUGAAUGCGGGAAAUGGGGCCCCAACUCACGUGCAUGCAAAGGUCUUGUAGCUGCACAGGGAAUUGGAAUGAAGCAUACGAUUUAUUCACGAGCAGAUUUUGUGGGGAAACAAAACGGCCGUUCUCCUUUAUAUAUAUCCUUCCCUGUGGUCCAAGAGAUCACGUGCAAUUAGAGCGCUAGUAUGUCCAGUUUGGCAGCUAAUCCAAGAUCCAUAUGCAUUAUGGAGGAUACCAAGCUCUAAGAAACAAGGAGGGAAGCAAGUAAAAAAAAAGUCAUCUCAGGCAAGCCUAACAGCUCAUUUGCUUUGCAGAAUUUAGUCAGUUUACCCAGAUGGCUAUGAAUGUGCUUUACCCGGCAUCCUCGGCGGUUUUGCCCCCGUGUUCAAUGAUAGACAUGGUUGUCCGUACGUUUAAUCUAUAGAGG